rnacentral:rRNA from 1 species
UUAGAUUUUAUUUAUUAAUUUAUGUUAUUUAUAUUUAAAAUAUUAAAAAUAAUUAUAAAAAAAAAAGUUUUAGUAUUGUUUAAAGAAAAAAUAAUUUUAAUAAUAGUUAAAUAGUAUUGUAAAAGAAAAUUGAAAUAAUUUGAAAAAUUUUUAUUUUAAAAGAAAAUUUAAUUUAUUGUACCUUGUGUAUCAGUGUUUAUUAAAUAAAUAAUAUUUAUAUAUAUUUUUCUCGAUUUUAAAAGAGUUAAUAUAAUAUAAAAGUUAAUGUAAUAAAAUUAUUUUUAAUAUUAUAUUAGAAAUGAAAUGUUAUUCGUUUUUAAAGGUAUCUAGUUUUUCAAGAAAUAAAUUUAAUUUAGAAGUUAUAGAUUUAUUUAGUUUUUUAAUUAAUUAAAUAAUUUAUAGUUUUAAUAUUUUAUGGGAUAAGCUAUAAAAUAAAUUUUUAAAAAUAAUAAAUAAAUUUAAUAAAUAUAUGCUUAGAAUUAGCAAUUAUUAAUAAUUAUGUUAUAAUUUAUUUUAUAAGAUAAUAUUAUUUAUUAAAUUUUAAAUAUUUAUUGAAAUAUUAAUUUUAAUAUAUAAAAUUAAAUAAUUAUGAUAAAAUUAGUAUAUAAUAAUGUAAAAUAAUUAAAAAUGGAAAGUUUAUAUAAAG